UCUAUCUAUCUAUCUAUCUAUCUAUCUAUCUAUCUAUCUAUCUAUCUAUCUAUCUAUCUAUCUGUCGACGCAGUCAGCCACCGUUUAUAGCGAUGUAUUUUUCUUUACUGUAACUUCAGUACCCACUAAGACAAGAAAGAAAACAAAAAUCAUUUUCUUUAGUUUUAACAGGUAUGGACAUGUGAUUUUUAAUGCCAGGUCAUGUUAAGUGGCACUUCCUAGCAAGUGCCAAGUGGCUGUCCCUGCCUGGCACUGCAUGAUCACCGAUCUGAACCCAGCAAGCUGCCCAUCGACUUUAAGUAGUGCUUACUUUUGUCCUGCUCAUCUGUGCAAUCUAAUUGGCCAGGGCUGCCGGACUAGGCUGCCCAGCUUGGAAGCACUUUAAUCAGCAGCAGGAUGUGAGUGUAUUAGAAUGCGUGUGUGAGACAGCGGCAUAAUGUGACUGUGUCCUGCAGGUGAGGUGAUGGAAGGCCAGGCCACCUCAGGAGGUCAGAGUUUGAAGGUUGCCCAAGGUCACGGUGGUCAGCAGUUCGCAGAGGGAGAUGAUGUGCUGGCAAGGUGGAGUGAUGGCCUGCUGUACCUUGGCAAUAUUAAGAGGGUUGACAAAGCGAAGGAAUCUUGCUUAAUUCGCUUUGAAGAUAACUCAGAAUUUUGGGUCCUCUGGAAAGACACACACUCUUCUGUAAGCCCUGGGAUGGAAGGUGUGUGUUGUGUUUGUAAAGGACAGGAGUCAAUUCCAAGGGACAGAAUUAUCAGCUGCCAUAAGUGCCGGCAUGGUUACCACCAGCAGUGCCAUGUGCCACGGAUAGAAGGAGACCUAGAUGUUACUCCCUGGACCUGUAGGCAGUGUGUGUUUGCUGUUGCCACCAAGAGAGGGGGUGCCAGAAAGAAAGGCCGCUUUGCCAGGCUCAUGCAGGCCAUGAAAUUGCUUUUGCCGUAUCAACUGUCAGAUUUGGACUGGGACCCUCAGCACCUGACAAAUCAGCAGCAAUGUUAUUGCUACUGUGCUGGACCUGGGGAGUGGAAUCUGAAAAUGUUACAGUGUUGGACGUGUGGGCAGUGGUUUCAUGAAGCAUGUACCCAGUGUCUGACUAAACCACUGCUGUAUGGGGACAGGUUCUACCAGUUUGAGUGCUCUGUCUGCACAAGGGGGCCUGAGACUAUUAGGAGACUCCCAAUGAACUGGGUAGAUGUGUCACACCUUGUCUUGUACCACCUAAGUCUGUGCUGCAAGAAGAAAUACUUUGAUUUUGAGCGUGAGAUUUUGUCCUUCAUCAACGAGAACUGGGAUUCACUGAUGCUGGGAUCGUUGUCAGACACACCCAAAUCAGAGCGAGGUGAGAAUAUCCUCACUGCCUUGAACUCACACAGAGACAGAUUUGUUUCUGGUAAAGAAAUUAAAAAGAAGAAAUGUCUAUUUGGGCUACAUCUACGGGCACCACCCCCUUUAACCUCUGACCUGACACCUGUGACACCUGAUCUACCUUCUGUGAUGCCACAGGGGGGAGGUUCAUCCCAGUCCAGAAGAAGCCCUCUGGCUGAACGAGCCUUAGGUCAACGUCGAGAAAAGAAGCCAGAACCAGAAUCCCGAAGUCUGGAGCUCCGGACACGAAAAGCCAAGCGAGCAUUCAGUCGUGCAGUGACGCAGGAUUUAGUUCCGAAUCCAGUGAGCCCCAAUCAGCUUUAUCAAGGGUAUGUGGGGAGUUCCAGCACCUAUAAUUUCAGACGGCCAGAGGAGCGAUGGGCACAGGGUUCACCCCCAAAGAGAAUGUUUGCUUCCUUCCACCCUUCUGCCAGUACUGUCUCUCAGUUCAGUUCACCUCCUGCAAGUGCCCAGUAUCAAUACAGAAUAUUAGCAUGACAUCACAGUCAGUUAUCACAUGCCCUAGUGCACAGCUGUGGGUGAGAGGAGAUGAAUCCACUGCGUUGUGAUGAAAUAGCUUGACUCUUUCUGGGACAAGUAUGUACUCACUGAAAUUCCCUUCUUGAAAUAUGGUUUCUUCUGGGCAGAGCUCAGUCACUGGCACACGGCCUAAUCCAGGAGGAGUGGAUCUUUGAGCUAGCUGAUGGUAUCUAAUUCUAAAUUUCCCAAAGAAAUGUCUUUCUUACUCCCAGGAGAGUGGUUUGUAGUCUUCAUCCAGAGAACGAAGAAGUGCAUGCAGCUAGUUUGUAAGGAAAGGUGUAGCCUCUACUGAUUGGUGACAGUUUAUAAAUGUGUUAUUUUGUCAAAAAACAAAGAGCCUUUUAACCCUUUUUGACUAUAGUAGUCUCUACAGAUAUGUCUGGUCAUUCCUAAUUAAAACUUUUUGUUAUUAGAUGAAACUCAGAGACGGCUAAACAAAUGUUAAAUUAUUCCGUUUAGUUGCAGUUGCAGUUUAGUUAUUCCUUUUAGUGUUCACUCUGAAAUGAAAGUGGGAGAGGUGCAUCUGCCUUUCUAUAUUCUUGGUAACUCUGUUCUUAAGAGGAUUUGUGUGCCACUGAAACCUUAGGAAAAAUGUGUUAUGUAUCACUUUAUUUAUGUUAAAUUUUAUUUUUUGAUGCCUUUUCUAUUGUUCUUUUAUGCCCAUAUUGUGUAGUCAUAUUUAUUAAUAACAACUGGAAUGGUAGUUUACUUUUAGUGAGAUUGUAUUUACUGUACCUAUAAAGAUGGAUUUUUCCUGUAAUUUGUUUUGUGUAAUGUCUUUAACGCAAAGAGAUAAAAGGUCACCAUUGACAUUGGCUUCCUAUCUGUGAAUACAGAUAACUACCUGAAAAACUGCUUCUAAAAAACCUUUUGGAAUUUUGUGUUUCUCUGGCUUUGUUUUAUGUCUCAUGUUUUGGUUUGGUUCUUGUUUAUUAUUGGCUUUAACCUUUUCUUUGCUUUUAAUAAACUCUUUGCCUCCACUCUUGAUCUUUGAACCUCUACACUGCAUUUUGCAAUCUGUGCAGUACAAAAUGAGUCACUGUCCACUUUGCUCUACAAUACACAUGCACACCCACAGCAGUACCUACUCUGUGCUAGAUCUGGACCUGACAGUUAACUUACAACUAUGACAACUCAUACUGCAUACCAACCAACUCCGGAUAGAGCUCAUGUGCAUUGCGGGACACCAAUAUAUUCUCGCAUUCUCUUUCACAAGCGGACAAAUUAGACAUGCUCAUCAACGGGCCGUAUGCCUUUAGGAUUUGAAAGAAAAAAUCUGUUUGACAUGGUGAGCAAGUGACCCACAGAUGUAUGAGGGAUGUUCAAUAAUUUAUCUACCUGAGUAUGAAGAAAGUAGCAAGCAUGUUGAAACAAGUCUGGGUAUGUUGUGACAUGUCUCAAAGUUACUCAUGCACAGUUGUAGCUCAGUGCGAGUCUAACAUUCCAAAGAGACAGGAUGUCAGGAGAGUCAUUGUGCGAAUCAAGUAAGCUUCUUCACGACAAUGCACCUGUUCAUAUGUCAUAUCAAUCACAGGCUGCCAUCCAAGAAUGUGGGUUCCAGCAGCUGAAGCACCCAUCCUACAGUCUUGACUUGGCUCCCUCAGAUUAUUUCCUGUUCCGAGUUUUGAAGAAAUCUCUCUGUGGACAGCAGUUUUCAAGUGAUUAAGACAUCAAGGCAGCUGUGACGUCCUGGUUUGAAGGUCAAACAGAUUUUUUUUCAAAGGGGUUAAGGUUAUCACAGGAAAUCUGGAUGAAGUGUAUGGAACUAUCAAAGGACAAUAUUGAUAAAUAAAGCAGCAUUUUUUUAAAACUCCUUUCUUUUCUACUGAGGUAGAUAAAUUAUUGAACACCCCUCAUAAAAUAAAGUGCAAGUAAGAAUUCAUGAACGUAUUUGAAUAGUAAAUCCCCCUGAAAUCUGAUCUUUCGUCUGCAAUACACAGUACUCCAUUUAUAAGUGCAGAACAUUGUAUAUAUUGCUAAAUGGUAAAGGAAUUAUUUUAUCACUUUUGCAGUGUAGAAAAUGCAAGAAUUUGGAAAAAAAUGUGAAUUUCCUAAAUAAUUGCACAUCUGUCUUUUUCUGACCUUGCAGUGCAAGUGUGUUAAUAGAUGUUUUAAACUCACACAUGAGUAACUGAAAGAUGGAGCACUGCGAAUGGAAUCUGAAACCUAGAGGGCAGCAAUGCACUAAUGGUGUUGACUGACAGAUAAUGAUCAGGGAAAAGGGGCUAUAAGACUUGUAAUGUAAUGGCUAUCUG